CAAUAGCGUAUAUUAAAGUUGUUGCGGUUAAAAAGCUCGUAGUUGGAUUUCUGCCGAGGACGACCGGUCCGCCCUCUGGGUGUGUAUCUGGUUUGGCCUGGGCAUCUUCUUGGAGAACGUAGCUGCACUUGACUGUGUGGUGCGGUGUCCAGGACUUUUACUUUGAGGAAAUUAGAGUGUUUCAAGCAGGCACACGCCUUGAAUACAUUAGCAUGGAAUAAUAAGAUAGGACCUCGGUUCUAUUUUGUUGGUUUCUAGAGCUGAGGUAAUGAUUAAUAGGGAUAGUUGGGGGCAUCUGUAUCAACGCGUCAGAGGUGGAAUUCUUGGAUUGCGUUGCGACAAACUACUGCGAAAGCAUUUGCCAAGGAUGUUUUCAUUGA
rnacentral:rRNA from 1 species